CCGGCGAUUUCCGAAUGGGGAAACCCAGUGUGAUUCGUCACACUAUCAUUAACUGAAUCCAUAGGUUAAUGAGGCGAACCGGGGGAACUGAAACAUCUAAGUACCCCGAGGAAAAGAAAUCAACCGAGAUUCCCCCAGUAGCGGCGAGCGAACGGGGAGGAGCCCAGAGCCUGAAUCAGUGUGUGUGUUAGUGGAAGCGUCUGGAAAGGCGCGCGAUACAGGGUGACAGCCCCGUACACAAAAAUGCACAUGCUGUGAGCUCGAUGAGUAGGGCGGGACACGUGGUAUCCUGUCUGAAUAUGGGGGGACCAUCCUCCAAGGCUAAAUACUCCUGACUGACCGAUAGUGAACCAGUACCGUGAGGGAAAGGCGAAAAGAACCCCGGCGAGGGGAGUGAAAAAGAACCUGAAACCGUGUACGUACAAGCAGUGGGAGCCUCUUUAUGGGGUGACUGCGUACCUUUUGUAUAAUGGGUCAGCGACUUAUAUUCUGUAGCAAGGUUAACCGAAUAGGGGAGCCGAAGGGAAACCGAGUCUUAACUGGGCGUUAAGUUGCAGGGUAUAGACCCGAAACCCGGUGAUCUAGCCAUGGGCAGGUUGAAGGUUGGGUAACACUAACUGGAGGACCGAACCGACUAAUGUUGAAAAAUUAGCGGAUGACUUGUGGCUGGGGGUGAAAGGCCAAUCAAACCGGGAGAUAGCUGGUUCUCCCCGAAAGCUAUUUAGGUAGCGCCUCGUGAAUUCAUCUCCGGGGGUAGAGCACUGUUUCGGCAAGGGGGUCAUCCCGACUUACCAACCCGAUGCAAACUGCGAAUACCGGAGAAUGUUAUCACGGGAGACACACGGCGGGUGCUAACGUCCGUCGUGAAGAGGGAAACAACCCAGACCGCCAGCUAAGGUCCCAAAGUCAUGGUUAAGUGGGAAACGAUGUGGGAAGGCCCAGACAGCCAGGAUGUUGGCUUAGAAGCAGCCAUCAUUUAAAGAAAGCGUAAUAGCUCACUGGUCGAGUCGGCCUGCGCGGAAGAUGUAACGGGGCUAAACCAUGCACCGAAGCUGCGGCAGCGACGCUUAUGCGUUGUUGGGUAGGGGAGCGUUCUGUAAGCCUGCGAAGGUGUGCUGUGAGGCAUGCUGGAGGUAUCAGAAGUGCGAAUGCUGACAUAAGUAACGAUAAAGCGGGUGAAAAGC
rnacentral:rRNA from 1 species